rnacentral:rRNA from 1 species
AGGACGAACGCUGGCGGCGUGCUUAACACAUGCAAGUCGAGCGGAAAGGCCCUUCGGGGUACUCGAGCGGCGAACGGGUGAGUAACACGUGAGCAACCUGCCCUUAGCUCCGGGAUAGCUCCGGGAAACCGGAAUUAAUACCGGAUAUGACUAUGGCUGACAUCAGCCACGGUGGAAAGUUUUUCGGCUAGGGAUGAGCUCGCGGCCUAUCAGCUAGUUGGUGGGGUAACGGCCUACCAAGGCGACGACGGGUA